UUUUUAAAGUGAAAGUGGCGGACGAGCGAGUAACACGUAAGUAGCUGCCCUGUACUCGGGGAUAACUAGUCGAAAGAUUAGCUAAUACCGGAUGGUCUCGAAAGAGUAAAGAUUUAUCGGUACAGGAGGUGCUUGCGGCCUAUCAGUUUGUUGGUGAGGUAACGGCUUACCAAGACUAUGACGGGUACCUGGUGUGAGAGCAUGACCAGGCGCGAUGGGACUGAGACACGGCCCAUACUCC
rnacentral:rRNA from 1 species